AGGGUGUGAUAGAACAUUUCCUAAAGAGUUCUUUAAAUCUCUCCAAUGAUUCAUAAAUAGACUCAUCAUUUAACUCGAUAAACAAAGUGAUGUUAUUUUUAAGCUU